UCUUUCCUCUUUAAAACAAACUGACAGUGGGGUGCUGUGGUGGCGCAGGGGCAAAGCAUGACCCACGUUGAGGUCUUAGUCUUUGUAGCGGUGGUCGUAUGUUCGAUUCCCCGCCUGGCGACAUUU